AUAUAGAGAAGAAUGGAGACAGGGGAGAUGAAGAGAUCCUCAAUAAAAAUAUUAAUACAAACAAAGCUUGCCACCCUACGCGUUUCAUCUUAUUGACUUCAUCAGGGACUUGUAGCAACAAUAUAGGUAUAUUGUUGCUACAAGCCCCUGAUGAAGUCAAUAAUAUAGGUAUAUUGUUGCUACAAGCCCCUGAUGAAGUCAAUAAUAUAGGUAUAUUGUUGCUACAAGCCCCUGAUGAAGUCAAUAAGACGAAACGCGUAGGGUGGCAAGCUUUGUUUGUAUUAAUAUUUUUAUUGAGGAUCUCUUCAUCUCCCCUGUCUCCAUUCUUCUCUAUAUCC